rnacentral:rRNA from 1 species
AUUGAACGCUGGCGGCAGGCCUAACACAUGCAAGUCGAACGGUAACAGGGAUCAGCUUGCUGAUUCGCUGACGAGUGGCGGACGGGUGAGUAAUGUCUGGGAAACUGCCUGAUGGAGGGGGAUAACUACUGGAAACGGUAGCUAAUACCGCAUAACGUCGCAAGACCAAAGAGGGGGACCUUCGGGCCUCUUGCCAUCGGAUGUGCCCAGAUGGGAUUAGCUAGUAGGUGGGGUAACGGCUCACCUAGGCGACGAUCCCUAGCUGGUCUGAGAGGAUGACCAGCCACACUGGAACUGAGACACGGUCCAGACUCCUACGGGAGGCAGCAGUGGGGAAUAUUGCACAAUGGGCGCAAGCCUGAUGCAGCCAUGCCGCGUGUAUGAAGAAGGCCUUCGGGUUGUAAAGUACUUUCAGCGGGGAGGAAGGGAGUAAAGUUAAUACCUUUGCUCAUUGACGUUACUCGCAGAAGAAGCACCGGCUAACUCCGUG